GCCCAGCUGGCUCAGUCGGUAGAGCAUGAGACUCUUAAAUUCAGGGUUGUAGGUUUGAGCCCCAUGUCGGCUG